UACAGAGGCCUCGAGCGUUAGGCGGAAUCACUGGGCUUAAAGGGCGCGUAGGCGGAUUCUCAAGUCCGGGGUGAAAUCCCACAGCUCAACUGUGGAACUGCCUCGGAUACUGGGAGUCUCGAGGGUGGGCAGGGGUAGUGCGGAACUGAUCGGUGGAGCGGUGAAAUGCGUUGAUAUCGAAUAGGAACUCCGGUGGCGAAGGCGGCAUACUGGUCCACUUCUGACGCUGAGGCGCGAAAGCCAGGGGAGCAAACGGG
rnacentral:rRNA from 1 species